UUAAGCGACUAAGCGUACACGGUGGAUGCCCUGGCAGUCAGAGGCGAUGAAGGACGUGCUAAUCUGCGAUAAGCGUCGGUAAGGUGAUAUGAACCGUUAUAACCGGCGAUUUCCGAAUGGGGAAACCCAGUGUGAUUCGUCACACUAUCAUUAACUGAAUCCAUAGGUUAAUGAGGCGAACCGGGGGAACUGAAACAUCUAAGUACCCCGAGGAAAAGAAAUCAACCGAGAUUCCCCCAGUAGCGGCGAGCGAACGGGGAGCAGCCCAGAGCCUGAAUCAGUGUGUGUGUUAGUGGAAGCGUCUGGAAAGGCGUGCGAUACAGGGUGACAGCCCCGUACACAAAAAUGCACAUACUGUGAGCUCGAUGAGUAGGGCGGGACACGUGGUAUCCUGUCUGAAUAUGGGGGGACCAUCCUCCAAGGCUAAAUACUCCUGACUGACCGAUAGUGAACCAGUACCGUGAGGGAAAGGCGAAAAGAACCCCGGCGAGGGGAGUGAAAAAGAACCUGAAACCGUGUACGUACAAGCAGUGGGAGCACGCUUAGGCGUGUGACUGCGUACCUUUUGUAUAAUGGGUCAGCGACUUAUAUUCUGUAGCAAGGUUAACCGAAUAGGGGAGCCGAAGGGAAACCGAGUCUUAACUGGGCGUUAAGUUGCAGGGUAUAGACCCGAAACCCGGUGAUCUAGCCAUGGGCAGGUUGAAGGUUGGGUAACACUAACUGGAGGACCGAACCGACUAAUGUUGAAAAAUUAGCGGAUGACUUGUGGCUGGGGGUGAAAGGCCAAUCAAACCGGGAGAUAGCUGGUUCUCCCCGAAAGCUAUUUAGGUAGCGCCUCGUGAAUUCAUCUCCGGGGGUAGAGCACUGUUUCGGCAAGGGGGUCAUCCCGACUUACCAACCCGAUGCAAACUGCGAAUACCGGAGAAUGUUAUCACGGGAGACACACGGCGGGUGCUAACGUCCGUCGUGAAGAGGGAAACAACCCAGACCGCCAGCUAAGGUCCCAAAGUCAUGGUUAAGUGGGAAACGAUGUGGGAAGGCCCAGACAGCCAGGAUGUUGGCUUAGAAGCAGCCAUCAUUUAAAGAAAGCGUAAUAGCUCACUGGUCGAGUCGGCCUGCGCGGAAGAUGUAACGGGGCUAAACCAUGCACCGAAGCUGCGGCAGCGACGCUUAUGCGUUGUUGGGUAGGGGAGCGUUCUGUAAGCCUGCGAAGGUGUGCUGUGAGGCAUGCUGGAGGUAUCAGAAGUGCGAAUGCUGACAUAAGUAACGAUAAAGCGGGUGAAAAGCCCGCUCGCCGGAAGACCAAGGGUUCCUGUCCAACGUUAAUCGGGGCAGGGUGAGUCGACCCCUAAGGCGAGGCCGAAAGGCGUAGUCGAUGGGAAACAGGUUAAUAUUCCUGUACUUGGUGUUACUGCGAAGGGGGGACGGAGAAGGCUAUGUUGGCCGGGCGACGGUUGUCCCGGUUUAAGCGUGUAGGCUGGUUUUCCAGGCAAAUCCGGAAAACUAAGGCUGAGGCGUGAUGACGAGGCACUACGGUGCUGAAGCAACAAAUGCCCUGCUUCCAGGAAAAGCCUCUAAGCAUCAGGUAACAUCAAAUCGUACCCCAAACCGACACAGGUGGUCAGGUAGAGAAUACCAAGGCGCUUGAGAGAACUCGGGUGAAGGAACUAGGCAAAAUGGUGCCGUAACUUCGGGAGAAGGCACGCUGAUAUGUAGGUGAAGUCCCUCGCGGAUGGAGCUGAAAUCAGUCGAAGAUACCAGCUGGCUGCAACUGUUUAUUAAAAACACAGCACUGUGCAAACACGAAAGUGGACGUAUACGGUGUGACGCCUGCCCGGUGCCGGAAGGUUAAUUGAUGGGGUUAGCGCAAGCGAAGCUCUUGAUCGAAGCCCCGGUAAACGGCGGCCGUAACUAUAACGGUCCUAAGGUAGCGAAAUUCCUUGUCGGGUAAGUUCCGACCUGCACGAAUGGCGUAAUGAUGGCCAGGCUGUCUCCACCCGAGACUCAGUGAAAUUGAACUCGCUGUGAAGAUGCAGUGUACCCGCGGCAAGACGGAAAGACCCCGUGAACCUUUACUAUAGCUUGACACUGAACAUUGAGCCUUGAUGUGUAGGAUAGGUGGGAGGCUUUGAAGUGUGGACGCCAGUCUGCAUGGAGCCGACCUUGAAAUACCACCCUUUAAUGUUUGAUGUUCUAACGUUGACCCGUAAUCCGGGUUGCGGACAGUGUCUGGUGGGUAGUUUGACUGGGGCGGUCUCCUCCUAAAGAGUAACGGAGGAGCACGAAGGUUGGCUAAUCCUGGUCGGACAUCAGGAGGUUAGUGCAAUGGCAUAAGCCAGCUUGACUGCGAGCGUGACGGCGCGAGCAGGUGCGAAAGCAGGUCAUAGUGAUCCGGUGGUUCUGAAUGGAAGGGCCAUCGCUCAACGGAUAAAAGGUACUCCGGGGAUAACAGGCUGAUACCGCCCAAGAGUUCAUAUCGACGGCGGUGUUUGGCACCUCGAUGUCGGCUCAUCACAUCCUGGGGCUGAAGUAGGUCCCAAGGGUAUGGCUGUUCGCCAUUUAAAGUGGUACGCGAGCUGGGUUUAGAACGUCGUGAGACAGUUCGGUCCCUAUCUGCCGUGGGCGCUGGAGAACUGAGGGGGGCUGCUCCUAGUACGAGAGGACCGGAGUGGACGCAUCACUGGUGUUCGGGUUGUCAUGCCAAUGGCACUGCCCGGUAGCUAAAUGCGGAAGAGAUAAGUGCUGAAAGCAUCUAAGCACGAAACUUGCCCCGAGAUGAGUUCUCCCUGACUCCUUGAGAGUCCUGAAGGAACGUUGAAGACGACGACGUUGAUAGGCCGGGUGUGUAAGCGCAGCGAUGCGUUGAGCUAACCGGUACUAAUGAACCGUGAGGCUUAACCUU
rnacentral:rRNA from 3 species